CCACCGAGGACUCGCCCAGGGCUCGCCCACGCCAUCGGGACCGCGCCCCUCCCCUCCCGCCCGCUUGCCGCCUUUCUCAGCCAGGACAGCGAGCACUUCCAGAGGGCACUGCAGGUUUUGUAGCACAGGACAGAGACUUAACCCAGCUGAAUCCCAGUGGGAAAUGAAGCCCUUACUCUGGAGGCGCACCUUUAGCUAAGGGCUCUACUGUGAUGAUUUCACUGCUGUUGCCUCUUCCGGCUGAAGUCACGGCCACCACCCAGACGCUGUACUGGCGAUUUCGACUCAGGAGACCUGCAAACUCGGGCUCCUUCAGAGUGCAGACGGGCAAGAGGGACUGCACUGUGUUGCGUCUGAAGGGCACCUGGGUCUCCGACGGACGACGUGCUGAUUCACCCUGACUGAUAUGGACACUGGGCUCUGCAUGUUCUCAGCACAGGUGGAUUCUCCAG
rnacentral:lncRNA from 1 species